rnacentral:lncRNA from 1 species
AUUCUUAGUGGAACUUGAAUCCGAUGCCUUGCAAGGUCUGAACGCACUGACCCUUUACUUCACGUGCAUGUCAGGUUCUGUAGGGAAGAGGAAGGAAGCCCUUUGCAUUAAUCUUUAGAAGGGAAGCGAGGGGAGGGAAGAGAUCUCAUCUCCAAGGCCUUGGAGGGGUUCUUCAUGCCAAGAACCAAGACCCCCAAGGAACCAUGCC